UCCCAAAGACCUUGUCAGGGUGAUCUUCACUUUCCCACAAGCUUGCCUGUUACGUCCUUGGAACAUCAAUACUCCUCGCCUGUGUCCACCUCGGUGGUUGGUUUCCGUUCUGGAGACCAUUUGCACUCUGAUUGGUAGUUUUUAUCGAUCUCUUAGAGGAGUCUUGGCAUCAUCUGAGUUGAACCAUUUUCCUAGCCGUGGAAUGGUUCGUAGUAUUGAAGCCAACAUCU
rnacentral:snoRNA from 1 species